AAGAGUAAGGGUCUUAUAGGCCCGACCUCCAACCCUCUGUUGUUAAAACUACCUUGUUGCUUUGGCGGGACCGUUCGGUCCCCGAGCGCGCCGGUCUUCGGAUUGGCGAGCGCCCGCCAGAGUCCAACCAAACUCUUGUAUUAAACCAGUCGUCUGAGUAUAAAAUUUUAAUUUAAUUA
rnacentral:misc_RNA from 1 species